CCUACGGGGGGCUGCAGUGGGGAAUAUUGGACAAUGGGGGGAACCCUGAUCCAGCCAUGCCGCGUGUGUGAAGAAGGCCCUCGGGUUGUAAAGCACUUUCAGUGAGGAAGAACGCCUGGUGGUUAAUACCCAUCAGGAAAGACAUCACUCACAGAAGAAGCACCGGCUAACUCCGUGCCAGCAGCCGCGGUAAUACGGAGGGUGCGAGCGUUAAUCGGAAUUACUGGGCGUAAAGCGCGCGUAGGUGGCUUGAUAAGCCGGUUGUGAAAGCCCCGGGCUCAACCUGGGAACGGCAUCCGGAACUGUCAAGCUAGAGUGCAGGAGAGGAAGGUAGAAUUCCCGGUGUAGCGGUGAAAUGCGUAGAGAUCGGGAGGAAUACCAGUGGCGAAGGCGGCCUUCCGGACUGACACUGACACUGAGGUGCGAAAGCGUGGGUAGCAAACAGGAUUAGAUACCCGGGUAGUC
rnacentral:rRNA from 1 species